UAAGUACUACCUCCGUCCCAAAAUUCUUGUCUAAGAUUUAUCUAGAUAUGGACGUAUUUAACACUAAAACGUGACUAGAUACAUCCAUAUUUAGAGAAAUAUAAGACAAGAAUUUUGGGGCGGAGGGAGUACAAC
rfam:Hordeum vulgare subsp. vulgare, WGS project CAJW01000000 data, contig: morex_contig_47260